rnacentral:rRNA from 1 species
UACGUAGGGUGCGAGCGUUAAUCGGAAUUACUGGGCGUAAAGCGUGCGCAGGCGGCGCGUUAAGACAGGUGUGAAAGCCCCGAGCUUAACUUGGGAAUUGCGCUUGUGACUGGCGGGCUGGAGUGUGGCAGAGGGAGGUGGAAUUCCACGUGUAGCAGUGAAAUGCGUAGAUAUCAGGAGGAACACCGGUGGCGAAGGCGGCUCACUGGCUCGAUACUGACGCUGAGGUGCGAAAGCGUGGGGAGCAAACAGG